GAUGAACGCUGGCGGCGUGCCUAACACAUGCAAGUCGAGCGAGGGUUUGCUCAGUAUUGAGUAUUCUAAGUCUAGAAUGUUCAAUUCUGAGCAAAACCAAGCGGCGGACGGGUGAGUAACGCGUGGGUAACCUGCCCUAUACACAUGGAUAACAUACUGAAAAGUUUACUAAUACAUGAUAAUAUAUAUUUGUGGCAUCGCAGAUAUAUCAAAGUGUUAGCGGUAUAGGAUGGACCCGCGUCUGAUUAGCUAGUUGGUGAGAUAACUGCCCACCAAGGCGACGAUCAGUAGCCGACCUGAGAGGGUGAUCGGCCACAUUGGAACUGAGACACGGUCCAAACUCCUACGGGAGGCAGCAGUGGGGAAUAUUGCACAAUGGGCGAAAG
rnacentral:rRNA from 1 species